CUUGAUCAUUGGACCAUCGUCUCCAAUCAUAAACGAACUCCAUUGAUGACCUUGUUUCCUUAAAGAAGGUGUACGAAAUUCUUCUCCAGCUCGACGGCUCUUUUGCGCUUCUGAUGGUGGAAUGAUUGCAUUGGAUUUAGCUGAUGAACUCGCAGAGGGAGACCAUAACUUGAAAAGCCAUGGAGACUUGGGACCACGACUUGAUCGAUAUUAAUUUUCGGAGGGAGACCAUAACUACAGUAUGAUCGAUUUCCUAAAACCAGUGUACUCAACAUAGGAGCUUUCACCGUUUUCUCAGAAUUGAUUUUUAAGCUUUGUAAAACUGUGAAUUUAACAAAAAAUAUGAUGAUAAAGGAAAGGAGA